rnacentral:rRNA from 1 species
CCUACGUGAUGCAGCAGUGGGGGAUAUUUCACAAUGGGGGGAACCCUGAUGCAGCGACGCCGCGUGGGUGAAGAAGUAAUUCGUUAUGUAAAGCUCUAUCAGCAGGGAAGAAAAUGACGGUACCUGAGUACGAAGCCCCGGCUAACUACGUGCCAGCAGCCGCGGUAAUACGUAGGGGGCAAGCGUUAUCCGGAUUUACUGGGUGUAAAGGGAGCGUAGACGGCAGUGCAAGUCUGGAGUGAAAGGCGGGGGCUCAACCCCCGGACUGCUCUGGAAACUGUACGGCUGGAGUGCAGGAGAGGUAAGUGGAAUUCCUAGUGUAGCGGUGAAAGGCGUAGAUAUUAGGAGGAACACCAGGGGCGAAGGCGGCUUACUGGACUGUAACUGACGUUGAGGCUCGAAAGCGUGGGGAGCAAACAGGAUUAGAUACCCGAGUAGUC